GCCCAUUGGUCCUCUCAUCUCAGAGGACCUGAUCCAUUCCUUCGAAUCUCACCACAUUCAGGGAUAAUGAAAAGGAAAUAAUACUGUUAAUAGUAGCUCAUAAUUGAUGCUAAUACCCCCAUGCAGGGCCUGUUCUAAAGGCUUUACAUUUACUUCUUUUUGUCCUCAUCACAAUCCUAAAAUGUGUGUUCUGUUCUUGCCAUCUCCACUGUACACGAGGCAACAGAGACCGAGAAGUUUGCCCGCAGUCACAUGGUUGGCGCAUGUAGGAUGGAAAUCGUGAGUCCAGGCAGGUGCUCCAGAGCUCAGUCUUGGUAACCAUCAAACCUCUGGUGAUUCCCAAGUGUUUAUCUCCAGGACCGGCUUGUCUCCUGAGGGUCCACUGACUGCAGCCUUCCUGGGAUGACUGUAGACCUGGACACUUGGUCCUAUCUCUGUGCUCCCCAUGGUCAUCUAGAACCGCCCAGGGAGGAAAUUGAAGAAGGGUCUGGUGAGACCACAGGAGGGAAAGAAGGAAUGGGGAGGCCCCACACAUGAGCCUAUUUCUUCUCCUUCCCACCUCCCCCAACAGCACUUCAUUCCAAACAACCUGGGACCCAAGGACCCUAUGAAUUUCCUUGUGCUUCUGUCUCCUGUGCUCUCACUUCCUCUGUUACCAUGACUUGCUCCUCAAUCUCAAUUAGGCUCCACACUCAGCAUGGAGCCCAACGCGGGGCUUGAACUCACCACCCCGAGAUCAUGACCUCAGCCGAAAUCAAGAGUCGGAUGCUCAACUGACUGAGCCACCCAGGCACCCUGCUCCUCUGGCUUCUUAAUGCUGUUCAUGUCCUCCUCCUGCAGGGAUGACCACUGCCCAAAUUUCUGGUCCCUUCCUCACUUUCUGGGCCCACUGAGGCAGUGUCCUUUGGGUGUCUCCAUCAACUAGAGCAGUAUCUAACCCACGCUGGAUAAAACACAGACUGCUGGGCCCCUGCCCAGAUUCUGACUCACUGGGCCUGGAGCAGGGCCUGGGAACGUGCCUAAUGCCACGUCACAGUGCCUGCGUCAUUUACCUCACUUCAUCUCAUCACAUGGGCAUUCGUUAUCUCAAAUCAUCAACAUCAGCAUCAUCGGAAUGGGCCUGAUGUCACUGAAAUGGGCAGAUUCUGGAUUCAGACCUCCUGGUGGGACCUUACCUCCGCAAACCACCCACUGAUGAGACCUUGGACAUGCAACUCAGUCUCUCUGAGCCCGAGUUCUCCUUUUGGAAGGAUGGGGCUGGGAUAUCAUUCAACUUCAUUGGAUUAAAGCCCAGAUGAAUAUUGUCACACAUAUUUUACAUUUGAGCAAAGGAUUUGAGGAAGAUGAACCUUCAGAUAUACAGCAAGUGGUGCAGUAGGUGCCAGGCUGUCAUGUAGCCUUGAUCUUGAAAACAGAAGACUAUGCCCAGUUAUGUGCCCUCUAGGGGUCAUACUUUUCUUCCUGAAUCUCCUGUGCCGCUCUGGGCAUCAGGCCAUUUCAUCCGGUGAUAGGGCAUCUCCAGGAGGAAAGGGGAAUCUCUCCCCAAAAUGCUGUCUCUGGGCUCCCGAGUUCCCAGCAGUGUAACAGAAUGUGGACAAGAUGCUCCAGCAGUGAGUGGGAAAGGACCUUUCAGCCACCUCAGAGUUGCAUCAGCCAAGGAUUCUCUGAGUCAGCACUGGCCUGGACUCUGACGUUAUAACUCUCGAUUGUCUCCAAUCUGACACCAGCCCAUCCCCAGGAUGGCUGUGUAAGACACUGGUUCUGGAGCCCGUGACCUCAGGGGCCCUGACACUAUUCCCCUUCUACCUUCACACUUCUGCCUUGGAAGCAAUGCCUUGAAGUCCUUCCUCCUUUCUUUCCAAGUCUCCAUCCAUUUCCUGUCACAGAAGGAAUGACAACUGCUUUCAAGAGUCCAACACUGUUCAGUCACAUGCCAAUAGCAAUGGAAAGAAUGAUACCGAACAUAGGGUCCACGCAUACAGUAGAUUUUCUUAGUGUAAUUUUAUAGAUGAGGACACUGAGGCUUAGAGAGGCUAAGUGACUUGCUCAAGGACACACAGCUGAGCCAGAGAUAGAUCCCAGGUCUGUCUGAUUCCCAACUAAUGAAUCUGUAGGUAUGAGCAUUAUUUUGGGAAUCAUCAGCUGGAACAGAAAGGACAGGAAGGAAUGAAUGCAUUUGGGUGCACAGGUUGUGAUACUAGUGACUCCAUCAGGGAUGACCCAGAACCCAGGCAAAAAUCCAUCCAGAACAAUUUAUGGAACUGCAUUUUCUAGGAACCCUCUGUCUGUCUAGGUCCUUCUAUUUACUUCCUCCCUUGGUUCCCUUCCUGUCACGCAUAAGGCCAAGAUAUCAGGUCCCUGUGAUACAUUAGGUGGGGUCUCUGUCCUUGUAGAUGCUGCCACUGAUUGGACCCUGAGGGGCAGAAAUGGGAACUUCCUGGGGUCCAGAGCUUAGUAGGUACCAGCCCGUUAUAGUCUCUUAAUUACUGUUUUUUACAUGGAUGUUCACUAGACAUGUUCAACAUGACACCUGCUAUUCAGUCCCACCCACAACAGGUCACUCUGACAUAGUUCCUUAAAUAAAGAGUUGCUACUUACUAGAUUGGUAGUAAAUAUUUGACUUGAAGGCAGCCAAUUCGUAGGCUGGCCACUGAGCCAUAAUGAAGAUUGGCCUGAAAAAUAAGGGCAAUGGUAAUCAGCUAGAAUAGCCAGAUUUUCUCCUUUUGGAAUGUCACUCAGAAAAUACAGAAAGCAAGCCAGUUUGUCAGAGAACAAGAAGACAUAAAUAGAAGGAGAGAACAAACGGAAAAAUCCCAGCAUUGGUGAUGCCUUGAAUUGAAGACAACAAACUGGCUUCUUUUGUGAUCCAGUCUCUUUUGUUGACUGUGCGUCCUGACAAUAAAUGUUUAUUUUUUGAGACAGCUUAAAAGAGUCUCUGUUUCUAACAAACCCCAAAGAACUCUUUCUGAGGUGGGUAAGAGACAGUUCUGUUUUGGGGGUGCUGGCUUCUCACUAACACAUAAUUUACUACUCCUACCUUGGCCUCGCCUGACUCUGUGCUUGGUUCUGGGUCAGGUUGGUAUAUUUUCUUUCCAGAUCCCCUUGUGCUGUUCUUGGCCUCUUCCCAAGGUAGGGCAGGUAGCUCCAUGGCCUCCUUCAGCAUGGAGGCCUGCCAGGUCCUAACGUGGGGGCACCACCCUCCAGGGAUGGAUGCUGCAUCACUGGACAGUAGAGAAUGUUAAUAAGAGCCACUUCCUACUACCUGUUCCGUCAUGGUUUUCUCUUUACAACGCUUCCUCUGACAGCCUGAGUUUGUUUCUUCCUCUGGGGCUGCUGCUCUGGAAGCCACCUAUCUGUCUCAGGUCUGGGGCCCUCUUGUUUAUUUGGCUUUCUCUCUGGGUCUCACCUGGCUUCCAGUUUCCUGUGUCAUCCUUUGGUCCAUCCAAGAUCUCCCUGGGGACACCAGCCACAUCAGCAAAAAGAAAAUGAAGUGAGCAGGGAGACUGACCCCCUAAAACUGCAUGAUGAAGGGAUUUGCAAACCUUGUGUAUUUUGGAAGAUUCCAUUCCUAGAGACUGGCGUAACUCUCUGGUUAAUUUAAAACCUAAGUAGGGGGUGAAGACUAUUUUCUAGAGCAUUCUGU